rnacentral:rRNA from 1 species
CUACGGGAGGCUCCAGUGAGGAAUAUUGCACAAUGGGGGGAACCCUGAUGCAGCAACGCCGCGUGGAGGAUGACGCAUUUCGGUGUGUAAACUCCUUUUAUAUGUCAAGAAAAUGACGGUAGCAUAUGAAUAAGCACCGGCUAACUCCGUGCCAGCAGCCGCGGUAAUACGGAGGGUGAAGCGGUACUCGGAAUCACUGGGCGUAAAGGACGCGUAGGCGGGUGGGAAAGUCAGGUGUGAAAUCCUACAGCUUAACUGUAGAACUGCACUUGAAACUUCUAAUCUAGAGUAUGGGAGGGGGAGAUGGAAUUAGUGGUGUAGGGGUAAAAUCCGUAGAUAUCACUAGGAAUACCUAAAGCGAAGGCGAUCUCCUGGAACAUUACUGACGCUAAGGCGUGAAAGCGUGGGGAGCAAACAGGAUUAGAUACCCGCGUAGUC